AUUGAGCGCUGGCGGAAUGCUUUACACAUGCAAGUCGAACGGCAGCACGGACUUCGGUCUGGUGGCGAGUGGCGAACGGGUGAGUAAUGUAUCGGAACGUGCCCAGUCAUGGGGGAUAACGUAGUGAAAAUUACGCUAAUACCGCAUACGAUCUAUGGAUGAAAGCGGGGGAUCGCAAGACCUCGCGCGAUUGGAGCGGCCGAUAUCAGAUUAGGUAGUUGGUGGGGUAAAGGCCCACCAAGCCAACGAUCUGUAGCUGGUCAGAGAGGACGACCAGCCACACUGGAACUGAGACACGGUCCAGACUCCUACGGGAGGCAGCAGUGGGGAAUUUUGGACAAUGGGCGAAAGCCUGAUCCAGCCAUUCCGCGUGCAGGAUGAAGGCCCUCGGGUUGUAAACUGCUUUUGUACAGAACGAAAAGGUUUCUACUAAUACUAGGAGCUCAUGACGGUACUGUAAGAAUAAGCACCGGCUAACUACGUGCCAGCCGCCGCCGUAA
rnacentral:rRNA from 1 species